CAUUCAUUCAGAAGCUUAAUAGAAUGUAAAGAAUCUGACUGUGAACUACUUAGAGGAAAAGUUAAAAAAAUGGAAAAUAAGGUUAACAAGCUACAAAAAGAGCUUUUGGAAACAAGACACAUGAAUUCACAGUUAGAACGUCAAAAUGUGGUGUGGGAACGAGAGCUCUGCAGUAUGAGGGAGAAACAAUACAAUGAACAGGUUUUCCAGAAACAGCAACUUGAAAGCACUCUCCAACCACUACAAUUUGAACUGAAGAGCAUAAGGAAUAAACCGAGUCAGGACACAAUGAAUUUUGAGGUGUCUGACCCAAAAGAUAACGGCGAGGUGCUUCCUCCGCAACUUCCUGAAGCUGAAAGUCAAUACCGUGGCCCAGAAAUUGAGCUACGUCCCAGGAGAGAUGCUCUUAGACCAGUGACGGUAUUAGAAUGUGUGCAUAGAGACCAAACCCAAGCCCAGUGUUCAAAGAAGGAAAUUGAACUCUUGUAUCGGCACAAACAAGGGAAAGUCAAUAAAUACGCUGCAAAGCAGGCAUUCUUGGAGGACAGAUUAUGUGAACUACAAAGUGAAAACAUGUUGCUUCGACAGCAACUGGAAGUUGCUCAAAAUGAAGCCAAAAGUAAAAAGACAAUUAAUAUCCGAGAGCCGUUUCCAGACCAUAUGAGUAAAGCCGCGCAUAAACAACUUCUGAUGCUGGAGGAAGGAAACAAGGAAUUAAUCAAUGACUGCAAAUGUGUAAAAGACAGAAUGUAUCAGUAUGAAACUGACAGAGCAGAAAUGCAAGCCUGUGUGAGACGGCUUCAACAAGAGCUGACUGACACCCGAAAGAAAGUGUUCAUGUUGGAAGCUUCCCUGGAGGUGACAACAGCACGUCAUCAGACUAAUGUAGAAAAUAAGACACAGGAUUUAGAGAGGAAAUUACAUCAAAUUGCAGACCAAAAUGCUGAUCUUACAGCAAAGCUGCAGUCGACAACUUCAGCCCUUCUCCAUCUGAGUGCAGAAACACAGCUCCUUCUAAAAGAGUUAUUAUCUAUGAAAAGGAUGCAAAAGAAAUGUGAAACAUUAGAGGAGGAGAAAAAGAAGUUGGAAGAAGAAGUAGUAAACCUCAAACAUCACCUAGAAGUGAACACAGUGGAACGCAGUCAAGUGGAGCAGUACAAACAGGAGAUUGAAGAGCGAGCAAGAUGGGAUGUAGCCGAAAAAUUGACAGAACUCAGUCAAGUCGUGCAGUGCAAGAGGGAGGCUGAAGAGCGAGCAAAACAGGAUGUGGCAGGAAUGUUGAAAGAACUCAGCCAGUUUUUACAGACACAAGCAGCGUACGAAGAAAACUUGUUAAGAGAAUAUAAAAAUGCUUCAAUAAGUCAAAUGAAGCAUAAAAUUAAAUAUCUGGAAUCUGAACUGAAAAGUAAAACUUUUCAGUUAGAUGCUGAGAAAAAAGAACUGGAAAAAUACAGACAACUGUACCUCGAAGAGCCAGAAGAUAGAACAUCAUGGGCAAGUCAAUUACACUCGAUUAACGAGAGGCUGGUAGUGAUGAACACUAAACUUCAGAUGGCGGAAGAGUACAAGAGUUCUGUCCUCAAAACUGUUCCUACAAGGCCUGCUGAAAAAUUUCAUGAUAGCUCAGAGCACAAAUGGACUCUCACUCAAAGUACAAACUUCAGGAUUUUUUCAGAACCUUCAACUAGCAUGCACAAGAAGUUGGGAAAUAAUGCAGCUAGAGAAGUAAAAGAAGCUACUCCUAAACUUCAGUCUGAGUCCUACCGAACUCCUCGAGGAUCUUCAAAAGAGUCAAGAUUAAUUGACGAUAUGCUUUUGAACGCAUGUAAAGAAUAUGAGGAGGUUUUGAAGAGAAAGUAUCUGUUAUACGAUGUUACAGAGGAACAGUAAACAUUUACCUGCUGGGCUGCUUGGGAGAGUUUCAUCUGGAACCAGGCUGUCCUGUCAUUGAUCUGAACUGGCUUUCUGGAGAAUUAGGUUGUGCCUCUGUGAUCUUGCUGUGUACCCCGU